rnacentral:rRNA from 1 species
GGACGAACGCUGGCGGCGUGCUUAACACAUGCAAGUCGAACGGAUCACAUUGCUUCGGUUUUGUGGUGAGUGGCGAACGGGUGAGUAACACGUGAGUAACCUGCCCCCUUCUUUGGGAUAACGUCGGGAAAUCGGCGCUAAUACUGGAUAUUCUGGUUUCCUCGCAUGGGGUUUCUGGGAAAGGUUUUCUGGUGGGGGAUGGGCUCGCGGCCUAUCAGCUUGUUGGUGGGGUGAUGGCCUACCAAGGCGGUGACGGGUAGCCGGCCUGAGAGGGUGUCCGGCCACACUGGGACUGAGACACGGCCCAGACUCCUACGGGAGGCAGCAGUGGGGAAUAUUGCACAAUGGGCGCAAGCCUGAUGCAGCGACGCCGCGUGAGGGAUGACGGCCUUCGGGUUGUAAACCUCUUUCAGUACAGAACAAGGCCUUCGGGUUGAGGGUAUGUGCAGAAGAAGCGCCGGCUAACUACGUGCCAGCAGCCGCGGUAAUACGUAGGGCGCGAGCGUUGUCCGGAAUUAUUGGGCGUAAAGAGCUCGUAGGCGGUUUGUCGCAUCUGCCGUGAAAUCCUCUGGCUUAACUGGGGGCGUGCGGUGGGUACGGGCAGACUGGAGUGCGGUAGGGGAGACUGGAAUUCCUGGUGUAGCGGUGGAAUGCGCAGAUAUCAGGAGGAACACCGGUGGCGAAGGCGGGUCUCUGGGCCGUUACUGACGCUGAGGAGCGAAAGCAUGGGGAGCGAACAGGAUUAGAUACCCUGGUAGUCCAUGCCGUAAACGUUGGGAACUAGGUGUGGGGUCCAUUCCACGGAUUCUGCGCCGUAGCUAACGCAUUAAGUUCCCCGCCUGGGGAGUACGGCCGCAAGGCUA